UGCUCCGUCAAUGCUAAAAACGCGACGACUACCUUUGAUCGUUGUACGCGCCUAUGGCGAAGCGUACAGAGUGUGGCGCAACACUUGUGAGGAGGAGGUGGGGAGACUGCAACAGUCUGCGGUAAUCGUAUUGCUAAUGGUACACACACAAUAUUAGAUAUGAACUCAUACGAUAUUUCUACGCAGCCAUAAAAUAAUAAGCAGUGGCCGACAAGAUAAUAUUCGCAGAGUACACGGUUUUUUUUUUAUGGUAUUCAUUUCAAGUAUCCACAAACAUAGAGCGACUAUUAUGUGUUGCUAACAAACGGUGCUUAUUAAUAAAUUGUAAUUAAAAACACGCAUAACCCCACCGUUGAAAUUUCACAGCUGUGGCCCAAAGACAACACAACCGAUUCUUGUCCAACAGAAAAUUGUAUUCGUGUAUACAAAGCACUACGCCAACACGUUUGUCACGCCUACGAAGAUCAAUCGUUUGUGUGUAGAGUGUGUUUUACCGAAUCUAUGAAUUGGCGUUUAUUCGUUUGGACGACUCAACCGAUUACCGUUGACCGCGGCCGGAGAACCUCAACAGACUUGAUGUUAAUAUCACGUCGAACACACCGGCGAAGACAGGCCGAGUCGACGCCUACCAUACAACGACAUGUAUAGGAGGAUUGCGUAGAACAGAGGCACGCCCGGACACCGUUGAGUCAUUACGCGAAACGUGAUUACAAAUCAAACGGGGCCCCACCUGGUUAAAGCAAAAACAGAGUCAGGAGGAGGCUAUUUGAGGAUGAAAGUUCAGCACACGAAUUUUGAUUAUACAAUUCUCAAUCCAAACGCCGAGGACGUACUCUUGAGGUGGUAAUUGGAAGGGCUCUGCGAUAUUGUAAGCCGCAUAUUGUAUUGUGUGUUUUUUGUCUCUCAUCACAUGUACGGAUCGAGUGAUAAAUCGUGUCAGUUGAACUUAAAAAAAAAGUUAAUGCAUGAUCACUGACGCGUGUAAAAAGGAUUAGGAUUGAGAAAAAGGAUCGUAAUGUAAAAUUACAAAAAUAAAAUCAAACAUUUCGAGAAAAUUUUCAUGGCUUGUAAAAAAAGUAAAUAAUUUAUUCUUGACGUAAUGUUUGAUGGUGAAAACCAUCGCGCGCUAUUCAUUUUUUGUGUUAAUAUUAUUAUUAUUUUUGACAGCUAGUUUUGAAACUGAAAACUAAAAUCGGUAAACCUUGUAAUUAUUACUGAUGUCUUGUAAAAAUAUAACGAAAACAUGUCGAAUUGGCGUUAUGUUGUGUUGAUAUUCAUUAGGAAACACCGUAUCGAGUACGAUUACGUAGACAAAUUAAUUAUUUUAUGUUUUUCAAUAAAAUGGAAACAACUAGUACGAAAAAAAAAAUAUAUAUAUAUAAGUAAAAUAAUUUUUUUUAUUUACCUCCGUGCCGUCUACCGCAGAUCCCGGAGCGUCCGACGCCCCCACUCGAUACCUUCGUUUUGCGGCCGGCAACACAUUACCGAUGGGCGGAACGUGAUGGUUCAUCUCGUGCACGGUCAAGCUCUGCUUGAUGUCGGCCGAAAACGAACAGCUCGAACACUUGUACGCACCGUUGGCCGUAUGGUUCCGGUUGUGCCGGUCCAGGUUCCAUUUGUACGGUGUCCGGAAGUCGCAGUCGUCGCACUUAAUCAUUGGCAUCGUGUGGUACUUGACGUGUUUCGUGUACCGCGCUUUCAUGUGCGUCACGUAGUUGCACUUCAUGCACCGGAAGAAUUUCUUUUUCAGAUGGGCCACCUUCUCGUGCCGGUUUACCAGUAUCUGGCUGUGGCUGCCGAAUGGACAAACUGAACACCGCACGUACACGGUCCGAUCGUCGGUCGUGGACGGCUCUCGCCGAUGGUCCUGUUCGCGUUCGUCGUCGUCGUCGUCGUCACGCUCAGACCGCGUUUGAACAGGGACAGCCGACGCCGACAUCUUCGAUCGUUUAGCAGCCGACGGCACGGCGUUUCCCAUGGGCGCCCUGGCGUCCACCUUUUCGACUCGCUGCACCUUGAGCUUGUAUGCGGUGGCGGCGGCGGCGGCAGCCGCCUUGCCUUUGCCGGCCACGUGCACCAUUUGUAUGUGUCUCUGCAACUUUUGGCUGUGCUUGGACGCGUACAGACACUGUGAACACUCGUACACGCGGAUUUUUUCGGCGUGCACGUUUUUCUGGUGGAACAGAAAAAAUCUGGGAUUCUGCGUGUAGUAAUUGCACUUGGUGCACGCGUAGUUACGCUUCACCUUGCACUGCGGCAACGACGACGCAGUGGUCGACGCGUACGUUCCGCUGCCGUUUCUUCUGUCGUCCAUCCUGUGAUUGCGGUUGGCCUGGGAAGGCUUAAUGCGAGCCGCCAUCGACCGAGGCUCCCUCAGAAGUGUGGCCUUGGCCAUACUUUCACGACGGGUGUACCUGCAAAACAACAGAAAAUACCAUUAAACACACUCGGCGUACUCCGACGAAUAAUUACUGAUAAACAAAUAAACGUAUCAAAUGAAUGGACUUAGUAGCAUACUGAAUUUUAUGUAAUUCCAUGUAACACCAAUACAGAAAGAAAAUUCGAAACAUUUUUAAGCUGGUCAUAAAAUCGAAUAUUAUAAAAAUGUAACAGGAACUUUUUGAAAGGACACGACCAAAACUUCGCACAACCACAAAUAUAAUAAAAUAGCUUUAUAAAAACUUGUAAAGUUUUCUAAACGUUAUACGUCGUUAGCGAGCUAUUUAAAAACUUCCGGUUCUUCAUAAAAUUAUCCGUUUAAAUGGCCGUAAAAAAGAAAAGAAACAAACUAAAUGGCUUAUGUUUCAUUUCCAUUACGAUUCGAUUGAACACAGAAGUUACAAGGUGAAAUUGGAGACCUGUGGGCCAGUCGUUCUGUACUGUGACUUUACUUAUCGCGUACAUAUUAACAGCGGGUUUUGAAAACUGGGACGUUUUUAGUCAUUAAACCCAAUUUCGGUAGAUUAUACAUGGACUCGUUACGCGUACAAGUUAAAUCUACAGAAGAAGUGUAACUGGUGUGUAAGGUGAUCGUACAAAGUGACGGGAUGAAGAACAGCGUCGGCCGCUGCAGUUGACAGGAUGUUGGUGAUUUGGCGACUGUCGAGGUUUUGGCCGGACGGGCGAGUCUGUUCGAAAACGAUUUGCGCACAACGGAAGCGUGCAGGUGAAACGACGUCAGGGGGCGGCGGCAGCUGCAGAGGAUAAAUAUAGACGAAGAGGCGGCGGCGGCGGCGGCUGCCAUCUCGACUGCAAUAGCCGCCGCCGUACCACAAUAAGCGACACACGGCGAACCAUGUUUAGACACGGUGUAAAAACAGUUGGGCCAGCCCAUUUUUUAGGACGAUUUCGAAAAAAGAAUAAAAAACAUUCGACAAGUUUUCAGAGCGACCGCGGACGGCUCGCAACGAGGAGAUUCGUGUUUUGUUUUCACCCGUCGGCGGCGAGAUCCGUUCAGACGACGUCGGCCGUUUGCACACAAUACGCGCGCAGGGGAAUCCGUGUCAAGGUUGCGGCGAAACACAAACGGUCGUAAUGUGUGCGACAAUACGAACCGGCACCAAGACAAUAUGCGCGUAAUGACGAGUGGGUGGUGCUUUGAAAUAGUCCUAUGUAUAUUACAAAACACGUCGAGGAAGAGAACCAGAAGAAUAUUUCAUAUAGGUAAUUGCCGUACCGGCGUCCGUGGGUUUUAGGUUUCGGGUGCUACCCAAAGUCGAAUGAAAUAACUGAAUAAACGAAAACAAUUGCUGGGAAAAGCGAAAUACGCAGAGUAAUUCCGACCGACGAAAAGCCAGUUUUUCACCGUUCGUACACACAACGUAUGCGAUACAACGACACCGGACUACUGUUGGCAUACGCGGCAAAUAAACAUUUGGUCGGUACGAGCGCAUACCUGUCAACGUUUUACGUGUCGUGUUUUCAAUGGUACAAUGGAAACACUAAUAAUAAUUAUUGUUAUUAGUACUAACACACGCGUGUGUUUCUUACGGCCGAUGGCGCACACGUGGCGUAGUGUCGGACAACGGGUAGCGGCGUCAUAGCCGUUACUGCCAUGGCAAAACUUGCAUUGCCGCUGCUGACCGAGUGGUGUGUUUACCGUCUGACUUAUCGAUUGCCCCGACCUGGGCGCGUGUGUGUCAGCAGCCGAGAGGCGACACGGGCCGCGCGAGAGAUUGUCGUCGUUACGGAUGUGUCGAUGCGAAGAAACACACGUCGCGUUUAGAAUAAUAAAAUUAAAAAACCGCGACCUGAUAUCAAAAAAAGUCCAAUCGAGCGCACCCACCCAAACGGUGCGUGGAACGGUCUCGUAAAGUUUUUUUGUUUUUAAAACGUCCGUCAAACGAUUGUCCGGCCCGUGAUCAAAACAAAUUGACAGCAAACAACACGAUUGCAUGACAUAAUGCACACAAUAGAGAUGAUACACCGCUAUAAAACGAGUUACUAUCUGCAGACGUACAAGGAUUGCAGCUUCGACCAGAUGUGUAUAAUAUACAAACACAUCUGGACAAAUCCGCAACGAUAUGGGCAAGGCCAGAGCUGCAGCGCAGCGAUACGUCGUACAUUUACAUUCUCAAUAUCACACGAACGCCCAGUUUUUAAAUAAAAAUUUGGGUGUUUAUUUUCAGAUGGCCACAUCAAUUCUGAAACUGUUAUUUGACGCGGAAAAAAUUUGUUAUCCGAGACUUCGCACUCAUGACAGAAGAAAAAAGAAAAUGCCAUGAUAUAAAAAACGAACAUACAAAAGAAAAAAUUGUAGGGACACUUCAAUGGUACAUGUGUUCGUAAGUAAGGACACAGGUCAAUUGUUACAAACAAUGAGGACAAAAGAAACCCGUUUCCUUUCUUACUGAACACCCUGUAUACAUAUAUAUAUAUAUAUAAAUUUCGUUUAAUUUGUAUUCCUAAUGUUGUGUUUAUUUAAGGAAUUAUAAUUCAGAAUAAUUACUACACGCUAAUAUAUAAAUCUGUGACGGCGAUUCGUGUACCAAACUGGCGCACGGUGGACUGGCCUGUCUGGUCUAUAUUGUCUUGGAAUCGUGAACGUGUUCCUACAGUCGACGGAUAAGAACCGACCAACUACACCGAAAAUACCUGAAGCAACAAUUACUGUUGAACUUAAUUCCAUAGGUUACCAGUCGACUCUCAAUACCGUCGACUGAAACGCCAACACGGCUCGUAACCGGCAGCUGAAUUGAACGGCUAGUGGCGCAAGUUUCUCGCAGGUUUGCGGAGAAAUUUGAUAUCGUACACCGGCGCGGAGUGGUACGCGGAAUGUCAUGCGGUGCUCCUCUUCAUCUUCUUCUUGCAGUCGGCUUUCUCCUGGCGGCCGCACACACAAAAUGUUAUAAUGAAGCAAAAACGGCAAUAGAAAACGUUAACAGGCCGUGUACACACAUACUACGAAAUGUGUUUAUACCGAACGAGAAUAAGUUCAUGGAAUAGGUAGAGGCAUGUUUUGCCGAAAUAAUGAAUAAUCCGCUCUUUUAUUUUUUCUCGGAGAAUCUCAAAACUGUUUCUAAUUGUUUGGUGCGAGUGAACACGUGCAAACAGCAUUGAUCUCGGGACGCGUCGUUGAUGAAAAAACAAUACGAUCUUUGUGUAUUUAUCAGUCACCAAAUCGUAUAAACAUGUACUAUAAGUUUUACUGAAAUGUAGUAAAGAACAAUAAAACUAUUUUGAUCGAAAAACAAAAAA